UUAGGAAUUCUUGGAGUUGAAGUCCAGAAGUUAUAAAAGGGCCAUACUUCCCCACCCCUUCUCUACAAGGCCACUAUCACCAACUGCUCUAUGGGAAGGAUCCUAAAGAGAGAGGAAAGGAAGCAGGCAAAUGCCAUUCCAGAAGCCUAAUGAACUCUUCUAGCUGUCACUAUCAACUGUCCUUGCUGUUCUCUACAGAAAGCAACAGUGGCUUCUGCUAGGAAGUCAGAAUGAUAAAAGGAGCAUCAUGACGUUCUGAUGUGAGCUGCACCCUUCCUCUACGUGUGUGGUGAUAUGGCAUGCAUGUCCCCAAAGGAGCAAAGUUGUGAUGUCAAUAUGCCAAUUUUAUUACUCCAAUGAAGUAACAAGAUCCCACAGA